AGUGUGUUGAAAAACGUCGUAUGAAACGCGUGUGCAUUGGUCAUUACACAAAUCGGCUUUCUUAUUGCGCGCUCGCUUACAGCUCGCGCGCACAAUAUCGCCUCGUGUGUAAUGACCAACUUAGCACACUUGUAUCAUAAUGUACUAUAUAGGUAGGUGAAAACAUCGAGAUGGGAAGAAACGGAAGCCUCUUUUGUACAUUCACGGUAAAAUGUGACUAAACAUCAACUAGACACGAUAACGCAGACGGCGCUAGUAGGACAUAAGGACAUCUGCGACACCGUCGCACGCUCACACUUUACCUCCGUGUCCAGAACUCAACUUAUUAGUUGUAUAAACAAUUAUCUUUCUACCAAACAGCUAGGAUAUAAGCAAGACUGGGACAGCUCUAUAUGGGCGUAUUAAUGACAGAAUGUCAUUAGAAAAAGGCAUAGAAAUUCUAUAAAUCUUAUGUGUUUUUCUAAUGGCAUAUUGGGGAUUGCUAUAUGUCGCAAUAUUAUUUUAAAAUAACUGUCCUAUCAUCAUGUUAUAUUAUCUGUGUUGUUGUCACGUGACCUAUGUCAGUGUCAAAUGACGUUUGUGUGAACACGUAUUGUGAGCUUCACUUUGACAUAUUUAUUUAAAACUCUUGGUUUAUAUUGAAUCAAACUGUUGUAUUGAUAGUAUUUUAAUGGGACAAACUAAGGUAUUAUUUUAAGUUUAAGCUUACGUUUAAGUAUGAGUCAGUCGAUUUUGGUCAGAGUUAUUUUAUGCUUUUAUGUAUGUAGUACUUUGUUUUUUAUCUAUUUAAAUGGUAAACAAAAGCGGUACAAUAUGUGUCAAGUGAAACCAGACUGUAGGUUAGCUCUAGGUAGCCUAGAAAAAUAUCAGAACAAAGUAAUAGUGCUCCCAAACUGGCGGUUGCGUAACGUUAAGGCCUGUCCAGACGAGGAAAAUUUUUCGCCAAUCUGAUUAAAUUGUCCGAUCAAAUCAGGCCGUGCGGACUCAAACGCCAAUUUGGCAACUUACACUAACUUUAAAUUUAUGGUGAUAUUUGAGCGCACUAAAUUAAAAAAAUGCCCCCAAACGCGAAUACUAGCGUCACAAAUUUUUUUUUAUCGGCAAUAUCGGUCAUAAUCGGCGAGCCAAAUUGGCGUUUGAGUCCGCACGGCCUGAUUUGAUCGGUCAAUUGGCGAAAAAUUGGCCUUGUCUGGACAGGCCUUUAAAUGUGCAGCGCGUGACAUAUUAUAGGUAUAACUGCCAGUGUAGGAGCACCAUAAUUUUCAAAUUGGGAGCUAAGUCCUGUCAAAAAUAUGAACUUACUACUUUUUAAAAUUGGGUUAUUUCCCAUCUUUGUCGAACAAAUUCCUUAUGCAUUUCUUUUAUUAGUUCUCUUUCGUAACUGAUCAUUCCAUUUGUAUAAACUUCGAUGUUUUGUUUCGUUAAAUUGUAGUUGUUUUUUACUUUCAACUACUAUAUUUACUAUAUAUGGUAUGCACUUGGUUUGGGGUGAAUGUAGUCAGGAUUUUUAAAUAAAUGUUAAUAUUAA